rnacentral:rRNA from 1 species
AAAUAGAUACCCUGGUAGUCCACGCCGUAAACGAUGUCGACUUGGAGGUUGUUCCCUUGAGGAGUGGCUUCCGGAGCUAACGCGUUAAGUCGACCGCCUGGGGAGUACGGCCGCAAGGUUAAAACUCAAAAUGAAUUGACGGGGGCCCGCACAAGCGGUGGAGCAUGUGGUUUAAUUCGAUGCAACGCGAAGAACCUUACCUACUCUUGACAUCCAGAGAACUUAGCAGAGAUGCUUUGGUGCCUUCGGGAACUCUGAGACAGGUGCUGCAUGGCUGUCGUCAGCUCGUGUUGUGAAAUGUUGGGUUAAGUCCCGCAACGAGCGCAACCCUUAUCCUUUGUUGCCAGCGGUUAGGCCGGGAACUCAAAGGAGACUGCCAGUGAUAAACUGGAGGAAGGUGGGGAUGACGUCAAGUCAUCAUGGCCCUUACGAGUAGGGCUACACACGUGCUACAAUGGCGCAUACAAAGAGAAGCGACCUCGCGAGAGCAAGCGGACCUCAUAAAGUGCGUCGUAGUCCGGA